UAGAGAAGGAAGCAUUUCCUCAUGGGAAUAUCCCCAGUAUCCCCUGGACUUAUAGAAGUUUGAGAUUGCCACAGGGUUGCAGAAGGAAGCAUUUCCUUGUGGGAUCAUUUGCAAUAGCACAUGGAUGCAUGGAGGAUGAGAGAUUUCCAUUGGGUUGGAUCGAACUCAAUGCCCAGUGCAAGGAGGCAUCAUUCCAGUGCAUAACAAUCCUGGACACUUCCCAACAAAUACACACCCCAAAUCCAUUUCCUGUUCCUCCCCAGGCAGCAGCACAUUCCCAGCCAGCAGAUGGAAGCCACCAACUAUGGAGAAAUCCAGUAUGCCACCGUUGUCCACUUUCAAAGGGACAAGAAAAACAGCAAAUCAUGAGAUGCAUUUUCUAGCCGCAAAUCACACUCUCCUCUCUGACCUCUGCAAAUAUCUCCCCUUAUUGCUGCUACCAAAAUUGUGUGGUUUCUCCUCAGAAGCUCCAAAAAUUGUUCCAUCCGAAGAGCUGAACAUAUUUGAGUGUUUUAAAAAGAGUAUGGAGGGGGAAAACCUCACCAACAAUUAUGAAGAGGAAAGAGGCCAUCUAGCAAGCAAGUGCUCCCCCAUAUCUGCUCUUAUUUAUGCUAAUUGUCUCCUGCCUGCUUCUCUAGUGUUCAUGUAUCCUUCCAGGGCACUUGGAGCCUUCUCGUGCAGGGCUUGCAGGCUGUAGCUGUAAUAACAGGGCUUUCCUUUCCCCUCCAGCCUCCCGUGAAGCAGAUGACCAACAAGAGUCCAAUUGGCUGCAGCAUGCCAAGGGCACUGGGAUUGGGUCACAAACAAUGUGUUUUCUUGCAGAGGGCUCUUGGGGCAGAACAUGGGGCUCUUUGGGUUUAUGGGUUUUGCUCUCCUGUUACAUCUAGCCAAUAAGAUGUAUGACUUGCUUAUGUAUGGACCCCCUGAAAAAUCAAUAAAGUAUCAGUGAUA